AGGUAUAGGAAUAGUGAAUUCUGGCAAAAAAUAAGCAAAUUUUACUAUGAUAAGCUUUUUCUCUUUCUUUCCUCUUACGUUGUAAGUACCCAAUCCAUUCUGUCCUUGCUAAGUGUAGUUUUCAUGUUAAUGUUACUGAAGUGGUCCUUAUUGCUAAGCCUUCAUUUGCAUGUCUUAUGUUUUUGUCUGUUUAAACAAAUUUAUGCUUUUUGAAAUAUUUUACUUAUAAAGCAAACUAUCUGGCUAAGAUAUGCUUAACAGUUGUUUAGAACCAGUAAAUGUUAACUAGGUGUUUUCACACUGACAUGUGCAGCCUAAAACUAUCGAGGAGAAUAUUUUUAGUGUCUGCGUGCUCUGUGGAAAAACACUGAACGUCCUUUUUAUGUACAGAGUAAAUCUGCCACAGGAAGGUAGAUUUAAGCCUCGAGCAGGAGUCCUCGCCUGUGUACGGUCAGUCAACAUAGCUGGACUUUUUCUAUAGCUUUUUUUCCCCCUUUUUUUUCCUCUUUUUUUGAUGCUAGACCACUGCCAUACAAAGAUCCGUAACUUAUCUUAACAAGAUCCGCUUUGGCUCGCAAACUUACGAGAGAAGUGGUGAUACAGAUCAUAUAUAUAUUUAUAGCCAUUAUUUUAAAAAAGAGUAACAACUUCACCUUCAGAGCUGCAUUCAACUAUGGUGUGCGGGACUCUGAUCUUUGUCUGCGAUUAAUCAUUGUCCAGGACGGCUGUUCCCGGUGGUAGGAUCCAUGAAGUGCUCCAGCUGGGAGAGGUCCUAACGCGUGUGCCUGGUGCUGCGUACGUGCAAACCAGGGCCAGAAAUUGCUGGGGCAGCAGGCGCUGGACAGCGAGCCUGCCGUGCCGCCCCAGUGAGUUGUGUGGGUCCUCAGCACUUCUGGAAGUUGUUUUUGUAAGUCUGAGCUGAAAAUUUCCUUCCCUUUCUUUAGAGUUUCUAAAUGACUAUAAUGUUGAGUGUAGUUUAAAAGUCGCCGAGGCAGUUGAGACCAGUUGUGCUCUCAGAGUGGGCGGUUUCAUGGCUGAACCUCGUAUCUGAAAAGUGAAAUGUUCUGGUACAGUGUGUUUAAAUCCCAGAAAGGUCAAACCAGACUUUCAUACUUGAGUUAGAUUGACCCUGGUUUGCUGCGUGAGACUCUUUAGAUAAAGAGAUCUUUCAGAGAAAAAGGAGGGGGGGAAAAGAAAAAAAAGAGUUUUUUUUUCUCUGAACAGCUUGUGGUGACUCUGUGCACAUUCUUGAAGCAAAGGAGUUUGUUCUUGCCCACAGCGUCCCUGCUUGGCAUUGUUGAGUGGAAAACUCUUAUGCUAAUUAUAUCACUGUCUGUUAUCAAUAAGAAGUGAUUUAAUUUCUUUGGCAAAGUGUUGCAACAAGAGCAAAUUAGAUUGAGAGGCAAAGUGAAAUAAAAAAUAUGCAGCUGUUCUGCCAAACAAUGAUCCUGACUGUUUGCAACAUUUUGUUUUAGGCUGCCUUGUACACAGAAUCCUUUAUAUUGAAGGUUUUCAAGCCACAAUCCACUGCUUGUGCAAGGCAACUAGAUUAAUAGAUUAUAAACGACAAAAGAGGCCAAGGUUCAUCUGGUUCGACUUCCUGCAUUAUGCAGGUCUCUGGAUUUUUGUGAAUUUUUUGCUUUUUCUCAUCUGAAAGAAUUUAACUGCGGCAUAGCUGCAUGUUAGAUAAAGAUCAGAUUUUCAUUUUCAAACAGGCUGUGAAAGAGUAAAAAAGGGUAAAUUGUUUCCAUCAAAAAUCUACCUGACAGACUAGAAAUCGAAAUACCUUUUUAAACUUGUCUAGUUUCUGCUUUCAGUUUCUGGAUGUGUCUGUCCCCCAGUCUCCUUGGCAGAGGAAUUCUCCAUGACCAGAUUUCCAUCCCCUUGUAGCUCUGUGCAAGCUGAGCAUUUAAACACUCCAUUGCAGGCUGCAGAGCUCCCCCUCGGGUCCAUCUUUACUAAUCCUGUAAUUGUUCCUGCUCCGGUUUGUCACCAUUUUGAUCUGGGCAGAAGGGGACAGAGCCACGGGCAGGGACCGUGCCCAAGCCAAGAGCCCUCCUGGCUCAGCUGUGUCUGUCAGGCAUCCAGGGAUUACUCCAGCCCAUGUUCAGCUGCUUUCCCAGCAGGGCUGCUGAAAUACUCUGGGAUCAGCUCCUUCUUAGGAUGACAACCCUGCACUGUAGGAUUGUGCUCUUUGUUUUGUAUGUAUGGCUUUACUCUGGUCCUCUUGAAAACUCUCAGCGUUGUUGCUUGCAAUGACCUUUUUGAAAUUAUUAUUUUUGAUACUCCCCCCUGAUACUGCUUGGUGUCACCUGCAAACUCGGUUGGUUAUGAUUUUAUGUUUUCUUCCAGAUAAACAAGCUAUCUGCUCUGUGGGUGUUUCCCGGUUCUGGGUGUGUGUACACACCUCAGCAGCGUUAAUAUUGUGUCAGGAGGAGGUCUGGUUCCUCACCAUCCCUUGCCACACCCCAGUUGCAUGGGAAGAAAGCCCAGUUUAGGAGCUGGAAGGGAGCCAGAGGCACACUGCAACACUUGCCUGCCCUGGGUCUAUUAUGAAGCCAUUAAAUAAUGCAGAGCACAAAACAGGUGGUUGCAGGAUCCAUAAAAGAAAGAUGAGAGGUCUGGGGCAGGGUGGUUACAAAGUACAUUUUGAGACCUUCCUGUUAGAUGGGUUUGUUCAGACGUGAUGCCUCACUACGUGCUCUGUAUCCAGCUGUUCUUUCAAGACCUAAAUACAUUAGGGACUUCUUCCCCCUGCCAAAAUUGAUUGAGAUUGGAGGAAGGAGGGAGGAAAAUUACAUAGAACACAGUUGCAUUAGACAAUUUUAUUUUUAGGAAACCAGGCUAAGAAUAUCAAAGGAAUAUUUAGUAGGAAUAUGGACAGGGUAUUUGCCUGUUCAGAUUUUCUUGCCAUUAAAUUUUUCAUUCCUUCCUAAGAACAGCAGAUGAUCUGUCUAGGGAAUUGUCAGCCAAAAUAAGCAACCUGCUGACAGAUUUCACCUGUGUCCCAGCAUGCUCUGAGGAUGCAUGGGAUGUGAGCCUUGAACAAUGACAGGGAAUCACUGGGCUAAGUUGUUUGGCUGCCGGGGUGCAGAGAUGCAUGGUGACACCCAGCAGUGGAACAAACAUUUGCUGUGUUUAAGAUCCAGACGAAUUUUGAUGGAUAUGUUGGCUAUUUGCCAGAGCUGAGGGUUUGGGGUUUUUUUGUUACUUUUUAAAUUGUAUGUGAUCAUGUUAUUUCUGAAAGUAUUAUGACAAAGCCACCUCUGUACGGUAAGGAGUGAGUGCUUUCAGAGAUCUAAUCUUUCUUGAGCCAUAAAGGAAUAAAGAAGCUGUUUCAACACCUGA